rnacentral:rRNA from 1 species
AGAGUUUGAUCAUGGCUCAGGAUGAACGCUAGCUACAGGCUUAACACAUGCAAGUCGAGGGGCAGCAUGGUCUUAGCUUGCUAAGGCCGAUGGCGACCGGCGCACGGGUGAGUAACACGUAUCCAACCUGCCGUCUACUCUUGGACAGCCUUCUGAAAGGAAGAUUAAUACAAGAUGGCAUCAUGAGUCCGCAUGUUCACAUGAUUAAAGGUAUUCCGGUAGACGAUGGGGAUGCGUUCCAUUAGAUAGUAGGCGGGUAACGGCCACCUAGUCUUCGAUGGAUAGGGGUUCUGGAGAGGAAGGUCCCCCANAUUGGAACUGAGACACGGUCCAAACUCCUACGGGAGGCA